rnacentral:lncRNA from 1 species
GGUGCAGGAAAAGGACAUUCAAUUUUUUCAGUAGAUGUUGGUGCUUCAGUUUCUUCGUUAUCCUUUUCUUUUGUCUUUAAAGGGUCAGAAUCAGGUAUGGCUUGAGUUUGUUCUGGGACUGGUCGGUCAAUAAUCUUUCCGCUUCGCAAAGUUAUUAUACUCUUUGCUUGCUCUUUAUGCGAAGUUGAAGAUGAUGCAUUGCUACCGCCGUAGACUUGAGGGUUAGGUUGUGGUUGAGCUGGUAGCUUACCUUUCUCUUGAGCACUUAAAACAGUGGUCAGCGUUGUCAGUUGAUUUCUUAAUUCAUCAUUGAUUUUAGCUUGACCUUGCAUGAAAGAUUGUAAAGUUUCUUCGAGACUGGGUUUUUGAGGGGGUGCGUGUGCAUAAUGAGGUGGCGGAGGUGGAGGAGUUGGGUUAUAUACUUGUUGAGGUUGGUCAUUCCUCCACCUGAAAUUUGGAUGGUUCUUCCAUCCAGGGUUGUAAGUA